rnacentral:rRNA from 1 species
AAUAGAUACCCAGGUAGUCCACCCCGUAAACGUUGGGAACUAGUUGUGGGGUCCUUUCCACGGAUUCCGUGACGCAGCUAACGCAUUAAGUUCCCCGCCUGGGGAGUACGGCCGCAAGGCUAAAACUCAAAGGAAUUGACGGGGACCCGCACAAGCGGCGGAGCAUGCGGAUUAAUUCGAUGCAACGCGAAGAACCUUACCAAGGCUUGACAUACACCAGAACACCCUAGAAAUAGGGGACUCUUUGGACACUGGUGAACAGGUGGUGCAUGGUUGUCGUCAGCUCGUGUCGUGAGAUGUUGGGUUAAGUCCCGCAACGAGCGCAACCCUCGUUCUAUGUUGCCAGCACGUAAUGGUGGGAACUCAUGGGAUACUGCCGGGGUCAACUCGGAGGAAGGUGGGGAUGACGUCAAAUCAUCAUGCCCCUUAUGUCUUGGGCUUCACGCAUGCUACAAUGGCCGGUACAAAGGGCUGCAAUACCGUGAGGUGGAGCGAAUCCCAAAAAGCCGGUCCCAGUUCGGAUUGAGGUCUGCAACUCGACCUC